ACCUCCCUCUUUCUUCAUGCCUAACACAUGCAAGUCGAACGAGACCUUCGGGUCUAGUGGCGCACGGGUGCGUAACGCGUGGGAACCUGCCUUUAGGUUCGGAAUAACUCAGAGAAAUUUGAGCUAAUACCGGAUGAUGUCUUCGGACCAAAGAUUUAUCGCCUUUAGAUGGGCCCGCGUUGGAUUAGCUAGUUGGUGGGGUAAAGGCCUACCAAGGCGACGAUCCAUAGCUGGUCUGAGAGGAUGAUCAGCCACACUGGGACUGAGACACGGCCCAGACUCCUACGGGAGGCAGCAGUGGGGAAUAUUGGACAAUGGGCGAAAGCCUGAUCCAGCAAUGCCGCGUGAGUGAUGAAGGCCUUAGGGUUGUAAAGCUCUUUUACCCGAGAUGAUAAUGACAGUAUCGGGAGAAUAAGCUCCGGCUAACUCCGUG
rnacentral:rRNA from 1 species